rnacentral:tRNA from 1 species
CAGCUUACUCCUAUUUUCUUUUUUUUUUUGUAGUGAACGUGUCACAGCUUACUCCUAUUUUCUUUUUUUUUU